CCUCAUCCAGUCAGCUGAGACCUGAAUUAAACAAAAUGCCUGAAUAAGAGGGAAUUUCCUCCUGCGUGACUGCCUUGAGGUGGAACAUCAGUGUUUUUGCUGCCAUCAGACUCAUACUGAAACGCUGGUCUUUCUGGAUCCCAAGCCUCUAGGCCUUUGGACUGGAACUGCACCAUCAGCAUUUCUGUGUCUCCAGCUUGUCAACUGCAGAUCUGGGGACUUGUCAGCCUUCAUGAUGACCACAACACUGACUUUGACUGAAAGACAAAGGAAGUCAUAGCACCUCAAAGCUUGGUGAAUAAUGAAACAAAUGAUGAUACAUCCACACCACAGAAUCCUACUCAGCAAGAAAAAUAAACUAUUACUGCCUGCACAAAUUGGAUAAACCUCAAGGGAGUUACUCUGAGUGGAAAAAGCCAAUAUCAAAAGGUUUCGGGAAUAAAGGAGCAAGGAAGUUGGCAGCAUCUACAAAAUGAUAGCACAAAGGAGCCCUGUGAUGGAAGUGACCUGUACUUUGAGUGCAGUGGUGAGUCUACACAUGCGAUGAUAUUACACAGAAUGAAGUACACACACCGCACACACGAAUGUAUGUAAAACUGGCAAAAUCUGAAUAAGGCUUUGGUCUCAGGAUGAUGCUGGUCUCAUGAAAUGAGUUAGGGAGGAUUCCCUGUUUUUCUAUUGAUUGGAAUAGUUUCAGAAGGAAUGGUACCAGUUCUUCCUUGUACCUCUGGUAGAAUUCGGCUGUGAAUCCAUCUGGUCCUGGACUCUUUUUGAUUGGUAAGCUAUUGAUUAUUGCCACAAUUUCAGAGCCUGUUAUUGGUCUAUUCAGAGAUUC
rnacentral:lncRNA from 1 species